AUUGAACGCUAGCGGCAGGCCUAACACAUGCAAGUCGAACGGUAACAGGAAGAAGCUUGCUUCUUUGCUGACGAGUGGCGGACGGGUGAGUAAUGUCUGGGAAACUGCCUGAUGGAGGGGGAUAACUACUGGAAACGGUAGCUAAUACCGCAUAACGUCGCAAGACCAAAGAGGGGGACCUUCGGGCCUCUUGCCAUCGGAUGUGCCCAGAUGGGAUUAGCUAGUAGGUGGGGUAACGGCUCACCUAGGCGACGAUCCCUAGCUGGUCUGAGAGGAUGACCAGCCACACUGGAACUGAGACACGGUCCAGACUCCUACGGGAGGCAGCAGUGGGGAAUAUUGCACAAUGGGCGCAAGCCUGAUGCAGCCAUGCCGCGUGUAUGAAGAAGGCCUUCGGGUUGUAAAGUACUUUCAGCGGGGAGGAAGGGAGUAAAGUUAAUACCUUUGCUCAUUGACGUUACCCGCAGAAGAAGCACCGGCUAACUCCGUG
rnacentral:rRNA from 1 species